rnacentral:rRNA from 1 species
GACGAACGCAGGCGGCGUGCUUAACACAUGCAAGUCGAACGGAAAGGCCCUGCUUUUGUGGGGUGCUCGAGUGGCGAACGGGUGAGUAACACGUGAGUAACCUGCCCUUGACUUUGGGAUAACUUCAGGAAACUGGGGCUAAUACCGGAUAGGAGCUCCUGCUGCAUGGUGGGGGUUGGAAAGUUUCGGCGGUUGGGGAUGGACUCGCGGCUUAUCAGCUUGUUGGUGGGGUAGUGGCUUACCAAGGCUUUGACGGGUAGCCGGCCUGAGAGGGUGACCGGCCACAUUGGGACUGAGAUACGGCCCAGACUCCUACGGGAGGCAGCAGUGGGGAAUAUUGCACAAUGGGCGGAAGCCUGAUGCAGCAACGCCGCGUGCGGGAUGACGGCCUUCGGGUUGUAAACCGCUUUCGCCUGUGACGAAGCGUGAGUGACGGUAAUGGGUAAAGAAGCACCGGCUAACUACGUG